rnacentral:sRNA from 1 species
CUUCGUCAAUAAGCUGCGGGCAAAUAAAGUGGACAUGCGUAUCAAUAGCAGCAGCGGUAACAAUCUUGCCUUCGCCAGCCAUGGCCUCAGUCGAUGUACCUACGUACAUCCCAGGUGUAACGCCGUCCAUGACGUCUGGGUUUCCGGCCUUACCGAUGCCGACAAUCAUACCGCCUUUGAUUCCGAUAUCAGCCUUAUAGACACCAGUAUAGUCGAUGAUGACAGCGUUGGUGAUUACCAGGUCAAGGCAUUGGCGGCGCAGCAAAGGGGUAGUCUGGCCCAUUCCGUCGCGCAG